rnacentral:rRNA from 1 species
CCAAUAGCGUAUAUUAAAGUUGUUGUGGUUAAAAAGCUCGUAGUUGAACCUUGGGCCUGGCUGGCCGGUCCGCCUCACCGCGUGUACUGGUCCGGCCGGGCCUUUCCCUCUGUGGAACCCCAUGCCCUUCACUGGGUGUGGCGGGGAAACAGGACUUUUACUGUGAAAAAAUUAGAGUGCUCCAGGCAGGCCUAUGCUCGAAUACAUUAGCAUGGAAUAAUAGAAUAGGACGUGUGGUUCUAUUUUGUUGGUUUCUAGGACCGCCGUAAUGAUUAAUAGGGACAGUCGGGGGCAUCAGUAUUCAAUUGUCAGAGGUGAAAUGCUUGGAUUUAUUGAAGACUAACUACUGCGAAAGCAUUUGCCAAGGAUGUUUUCAUUAAUCAGGAACGAAAGUUAGGGGAUCGAAGACGAUCAGAUACCGUCGUAGUCUUAACCAUAAACUAUGCCGACUAGGGAUCGGACGAUGUUAUAUUUUGACUCGUUCGGCACCUUACG